rnacentral:rRNA from 1 species
UGGGGAAUAUUGCACAAUGGGCGAAGCCUGAUGCAGCAACGCCGCGUGAGUGAUGAAGGCCUUCGGGUUGUAAAGCUCUGUCUUUUGGGACGAUAAUGACGGUACCAAAGGAGGAAGCCACGGCUAACUACGUGCCAGCAGCCGCGGUAAUACGUAGGUGGCAAGCGUUGUCCGGAUUUACUGGGCGUAAAGGAUGCGUAGGCGGAUUUUUAAGUGAGAUGUGAAAUACCCGGGCUUAACUUGGGUGCUGCAUUUCAAACUGGGAAUCUAGAGUGCGGGAGAGGAGAAUGGAAUUCCUAGUGUAGCGGUGAAAUGCGUAGAGAUUAGGAAGAACACCAGUGGCGAAGGCGAUUCUCUGGACCGUAACUGACGCUGAGGCAUGAAAGCGUGGGUAGCAAACAGGAUUAGAUACCCUGGUAGUCCACGCCGUAAACGAUGAGUACUAGGUGUAGGAGGUAUCGACCCCUUCUGUGCCGCAGUUAACACAAUAAGUACUCCGCCUGGGAAGUACGAUCGCAAGAUUAAAAACUCAAAAGGAAUUGACGGGGGUCAUAGCUGUUUUUCCU